rnacentral:rRNA from 1 species
AUUGAACGCUGGCGGCAGGCCUAACACAUGCAAGUCGAACGGUAACAGGAAGCAGCUUGCUGCUUUGCUGACGCGUGGCGGACGGGUGAGUAAUGUCUGGGAAACUGCCUGAUGGAGGGGGAUAACUACUGGAAACGGUAGCUAAUACCGCAUAACGUCGCAAGACCAAAGAGGGGGACCUUAUGGCCUCUUGCCAUCGGAUGUGCCCAGAUGGGAUUAGCUAGUAGGUGGGGUAACGGCUCACCUAGGCGACGAUCCCUAGCUGGUCUGAGAGGAUGACCAGCCACACUGGAACUGAGACACGGUCCAGACUCCUACGGGAGGCAGCAGUGGGGAAUAUUGCACAAUGGGCGCAAGCCUGAUGCAGCCAUGCCGCGUGGAUGAAGAAGGCCUUCGGGUUGUAAAGUACUUUCAGCGGGGAGGAAGGGAGUAAAGUUAAUACCUUUGCGCAUUGACGUUACCCGCAGAAGAAGCACCGGCUAACUCCGUG